rnacentral:lncRNA from 1 species
CUGGCAACUCCAGCCUGGGCCUGGGUCCCACGUCCUGAGACUGCCUUAGCUCAGAUGCUCCUGCUCCGCCAGGUCCUCCUCAAGGCGGCUACUGCUUCUGGCACUGCAGAUAGAGUGGUAGCAUAUAAUGUAUAAUCAACGAAUUUCAAGACAAUUUUGGAGCUGGAACCCAAGCCUAUCAAUCAUGUCUACAUUGCUCAGACAAGCUCUGCAUCAGGAGACUGGAAAAGCCAUGCUUGGAAACCUUGGACACAGAGAGCGACCUCACAGAUGGAACAGCAAGGACGUGACACAGAUGUCCUUGGCCCAGGGCCCUUCCUGCCCCGCUGGGGAUGCAGCCACCACGGGUUCUGCCGGGAACCUCUGAUCCCAAGCUCCCCAGAGUUUACACGUGACCUGGAGACACACCUCGGACAGCCAACAAUUCAGUAUUUUGAAUCAGUCGGGACAAAACAACGUGACAGUAUCAGAAUGACGUACCUUAGAAAGAAUGACAUAUUCCUAGGCCUCUGGGAGUUUGCGACAAGUACUUAAGUUGUACACUUUAUUAUUGGAAAGCUUCAUGUACGGGAAAGAAAACAGCCAAGACAAACACAAAUGCGUUUUUGAUGGAUAUGGAUAAAGGGGAAACCACCGUUCCAAUGUUCAAGCAGUGAUUCCAUCCGAAGACU